rnacentral:rRNA from 1 species
UACAGAGGUCCCAAGCGUUGUUCGGAUUCACUGGGCGUAAAGGGUGCGUAGGUGGCCAGGUAAGUCUGAUGUGAAAUCUCGGAGCUCAACUCCGAAACUGCAUUGGAUACUAUCUGGCUGGAGGGUCGGAGGGGGGACUGGAAUUCUCGGUGUAGCAGUGAAAUGCGUGGAUAUCGAGAGGAACACUCGUGGCGAAGGCGAGCUACUGGACAACAUCUGACGCUGAGGCUCGAAGGCUAGGGGAGCAAAAGGG